rnacentral:rRNA from 1 species
CCUACGGGAGGCAGCAGUGGGGAAUAUUGCACAAUGGGCGCAAGCCUGAUGCAGCCAUGCCGCGUGUGUGAAGAAGGCCUUCGGGUUGUAAAGCACUUUCAGCGGGGAGGAAGGCGUUAAGGUUAAUAACCUUGGCGAUUGACGUUACCCGCAGAAGAAGCACCGGCUAACUCCGUGCCAGCAGCCGCGGUAAUACGGAGGGUGCAAGCGUUAAUCGGAAUUACUGGGCGUAAAGCGCACGCAGGCGGUCUGUCAAGUCGGAUGUGAAAUCCCCGGGCGCAACCUGGGAACUGCAUUCGAAACUGGCAGGCUAGAGUCUUGUAGAGGGGGGUAGAAUUCCAGGUGUAGCGGUGAAAUGCGUAGAGAUCUGGAGGAAUACCGGUGGCGAAGGCGGCCCCCUGGACAAAGACUGACGCUCAGGUGCGAAAGCGUGGGGAGCAAACAGGAUUAGAUACCCCGGUAGUC